rnacentral:rRNA from 1 species
GAUACCUAGUGUGAAUUGCAGAAUUCCGCGAAUCAUCGAGUUUUUGAACGCAAGUUGCGCCCGAGGCUCGUACCGAGGGCAUGUCUGUUUGAGCGUCCA